UACGUAGGGUGCGAGCGUUGUCCGGAAUUACUGGGCGUAAAGAGCUCGUAGGUGGUUUGUCGCGUUGUCCGUGAAAACUCACAACUCAAUUGUGGGCGUGCGGGCGAUACGGGCAGACUGGAGUACUGCAGGGGAGACUGGAAUUCCUGGUGUAGCGGUGGAAUGCGCAGAUAUCAGGAGGAACACCGGUGGCGAAGGCAGGUCACUGGGCCGCAACUGACGCUGAGGAGCGAAAGCAUGGGGAGCGAACAGG
rnacentral:rRNA from 1 species